AAGGCAAUGCCCAGGAGAUUACUGUUACUACGGCCGCUGUUGUUACCCGCGUAAAUGCACUCACCAAUCGCACUGUUCUAGCACGCAAUGCAGUGCGAGGCAUUACUCGCACUGGUAUGGAUCCUGUUUGAACCUCAAGCAACCGGGACAUUGGUGUCCAUGGAAAAAGCCUGAUGGUUACCACUGUGGCUGUGUACAUGGAUACUAUUGUAAAAGAUAUGGCUAUCAUCACUAUUGGGGAACGUGCGUGAAAACGCCGACGGGUUGUUCAAGCGACAGUAGCUGCAAGAAAACAGAGUGCUGUUCUGGUCGUCGAUGCAAACCACGGAAAAAGGCGGGAGAGUUCUGUCCUCUCAAGGGGGCCGAUAGUUACCACUGUGGCUGCAUCGAGGGAUUUGAAUGCCAAAAAGUUGGAGUGGGAGAUUACUGGGGCAAAUGCCGAGAAAAGGUUGUGCCACCGACUGAAGAGCCUGGAUCUGGGCUCGGGGCAUAGCCUCGUUACUAUGCUGACUGACCGAUCGAGCAAGCGUUACAUUUUAAAUUCGCUCAGUUGGAAACUUUGGUAUAAUAUCAAUUGCUUUAAGCAAAAA